GUCCCUGUAUCGCAAUAUGUACCGCAUUGGACUUCUAAUCCAAAGGCCGCGGAUUCAAAUUCCACCUGGAAUG